rnacentral:lncRNA from 1 species
GCACACUCUAGCUAGGCACGAAGCAAAGGGAAACCAGGGAAGUGACACCUACUAACAACGCUGAUGGUUCACUUACUCCAAACUAUGCCCCUCAGAAUGCCCGUCGAAAUGUCGACUCAGCUAGGUAGUAGGCAUGCAUGCAUGGCAUAUCUUAUGUUGUUACCAUGUUCAGUUUAGUUGAACUUGUGUACUUGUGUUGCCUAUUUUUGAUACAUUUUUGAACUAUGUCGGUAAAUAUAUAU